AUUGAACGCUGGCGGCAGACCUAACACAUGCAAGUCGAACGAGUGGCGGACGGGUGAGUAAUGUCUGGGAAACUGCCUGAUGGAGGGGGAUAACUACUGGAAACGGUAGCUAAUACCGCAUACCAUCAGAUGUUCCCAGAUGGGAUUAGCUUGUUGGUGGGGUAACGGCGCACCAAGGCGACGAUCCCUAGCUGGUCUGAGAGGAUAACCGGCAAACCUGGAAUGGAGACACGGUCCAAAGUCCUAGGGGAGGCAGCAGUGGGGAAUAUUGCACAAUGUGCGCAAGCCUGAUGCAGCCAUGCGGCGUGUAUGAAGAAGGCCUUCGGGUUGUAAAGUACUUUCAGCGGGGAGGCGUUACCCGCAGAAGAAGCACCGGCUAACUCCGUGCCAGCAGCCGCGGUAAUAC
rnacentral:rRNA from 1 species